CUGAUAUUUGUUUAGUUGGAUGUGUCUGAUUAAAACAGUAUCAACGAUUACUUUGACUAAAUCAGAGUGAUCAAGACAGGUUCGUUUCGUACGACCUUGAAUGCUCUAGCAUGGAAUAAUAGAAGAGGACUCGUUUGGGUCUGGUGAAGUGUUUAUGUUCACGCAUACUAUGGUCUCCAGUACCUCGAGUAAUGAUUAAAAGGGAUUGACGGGGGCAGUCGUAUUGCUGGGCUAGCGGUGAAAUGCAAUGACCCUGGUAAGACGUCCUAAAGCGAAAGCAUCUGCCUAGGAUGUUUUCAUUGAUCAAGAGCGAAAGUUAGAGGUGCGAAGGCGAUUAGAUACCGCCCUAGUUCUAACCAUAAACGAUGCCAACCAGCAAUCAGUCUGAGAAUUCAAGCAAUUUAAAAAUCUUCAACGAUCUUGAAUUAGACUGGUUCUCCCGGAGAAAUCAGAGUGAUUAGGCUCCGGGGGAAGUAUGGUUGCAAGGCUGAAACUUAAAGGAAUUGACGGAGGGGCACCACAAGGAGUGGAGCUUGCGGCUUAAUUUGACUCAACACGGGAAAACUUACCAGGAUAAUACACUAUGACGAUUGUCAGGCUAGAGACCUUUCUUGAUUUAGUGAAUAGUGGUGCAUGGCCGUUAUUAGUUCGUGGGGUGAUUUGUCAGGUUGAUUCCGACAAACGAACAAGACUCUAGCCUGCUAAUUAAAGGUAUAGACUUUUCAGUUUCUUGUAGACUGUCUAAGUUUAUGCAACCU
rnacentral:rRNA from 1 species